UUUAUUUGAGCAAGUAUAGUGCGUUAAGUUUAGAUCUUAGGUAAAUGAAUAGUAUUUCAUAAGUAAGG
rnacentral:tRNA from 1 species